rnacentral:rRNA from 1 species
GAUGAACGCUGGCGGCGUGCCUCAGACAUGCAAGUCGAACGCGAAAGUCCCCUUCGGGGGACAAGUAGAGUGGCGCACGGGUGAGUAACACGUAGGUAAUCUACCUUCGGGUGGGGAAUAACAAUCGGAAACGGUUGCUAAUACCGCAUAAUGCAGCGGCACCUAAUGGUGACAGUUGUUAAAGCGGGGGAUCGAAAGAUCUCGCGCCUGAAGAGGAGCCUGCGGCGGAUUAGCUAGUUGGUAGGGUAAUGGCCUACCAAGGCGACGAUCCGUAGCCGGCCUGAGAGGGCGGUCGGCCACACUGACACUGACAUACGGGUCAGACUCC